AUCGAUAUUGAGGCAGAGGCACCGAUGAGUUUCAUGCGGUUGUGUUAGGAAAAAAAAAACCAUUGCAGUAUCGGGUGAUAUGAUACAUAUCAGACAGUAUUUUAGACCGUGGUCAAUUUGCACCAUGCUUACGAAUGUGUCUUCUAUGUGAUUUAAACAAUGACAGAGAGGCGAGAGGUCACAAUGCAGUCAGGGGCAGGGCGCCUGCGAAGAUCUUACCAAUAGAGAUACCAGCUGUCUUUGGAUGAGCUGAAUAAAUUGACUGGUAAUUUCGGUUCAAAGUCUUUGGUUGGAGAAGGGUCAUAUGGUCAUGUUUUCCAUGCCACUUUGAGCACUGGCAAAGCUGUGGCAAUAAAGAAGUUGGACGCGAGUUCUUCACAACAGCCCGAUUCCGAUUUUGCAGCUCAGGAACCACCAAGAAUGAGUCCUACCUCGAAAGUCUCUCCCACAAUCUAUAGUCUCUUUUCCUCACUGACCAUAAACUGUUGACUAAAAGUUCAAUUUUCAGCCCAUCAUGUGUCAUCUGCCUCGACGGCUUCUGCGAGGUAGUAGAAAGAUGCUCAAAUGCCUCAUUGAGAGAUGUACAAUAUGGAUUAUUCAUAGCUUUCUCAAUUUUUGUUUUUCCUAACUAGUUCUGUACAAUUUUUAUUUUUUUCAGCCUCAAUUAUUCAUUUUUGUUUAGUUUGUAUUACAUGAAUUUCUCAGUAGUUUCUUUUUAACAUCGUAGACCUCGAAAUUUCCUUUGCAUUUUGCAUUAUUAUUAUUAGAGCUCCCAUUUUAGUAGCAGAAAGUUUUAGAUGCUAUUUGCCACAGACCAGUCUUAAAUGAGCAGCUAAUCCGUCAAACAGAAGGUCAAGGGAUUGAUUGGCAGCAUUUUGUAUCAGGAAAAAGCAAAAAGCUUCUUGCCACGGGAAAGGAUCAUUAUUAUCAUCAACUUCGAAGUAACAGUUGAAAAGUGCGAUCUUAUUGGGGAACCAAAGCAGUAUGGGGAUGACACUACUUCCAGUGCUCCUACACAGGGAAGAGCUUCCAUGCUUGCACAGUCAUCAUCCAUGGAUCAAUCAGGGAUAGCAGCUGGAAGUCCACGAUCUUAUGGUGGGUCACUUCCUGGUGGCACUGUCGCAGGACAGAAUGUAAUGAGUGCAACUCCUCUGCGGUCUA